CACAUACAAGGAAGGCAGCAGGCGCGCAAUUACCCAAUCCUGACUCAGGGAGGUAGUGACAAGAAAUAACAAUAAACCGGCUUAUGCCGGUUUAAUUGGAAUGAGUACAAUUUAAACAUCUUAACGAGGAACAAUUGGAGGGCAAGUCUGGUGCCAGCAGCCGCGGUAAUUCCAGCUCCAAUAGCGUAUACUAAAGUUGUUGCAGUUAAAAAGCUCGUAGUUGGAUUUCUGUGGGGACGGAGCGGCCGGCCGCACAUCGCGGUUCGAGCUAGCGCUUUCCCUACAUCCUGCCGCGAACCGUGCUACCAUUAAUUUGGUGGCGCCGGGGAUCGGCUCGAUUACUUUGAGAAAAAUAGAGUGUUCAAAGCAGGCCACAUGCCUUGAAUAAGUUAGCAUGGAAUAAUAACUAAGGACUUCGGUUCUAUUUUGUUGGUGUUCGGGACUGAAGUAAUGAUUGAUAGGGACAGUUGGGGCGGUCUGUAUUCCAAAGCGAGAGGUGAAAUUCUUAGACCUUCGGAAGACAAACAGCUGCGAAAGCGUUCCGCAAGGAUGUUCCCUUUGAUCAAGAACGAAAGUUGGGGGAUCGAAGACGAUCAGAUACCGUCGUAGUCUCAACUAUAAACUAUACCAGCUAGGGAUCGGCCAACGUUAUUUUAUACCGACUUGGUCGGCACCUUAUGAGAAAUCAAAGCAUCUGGGUUCCGGGGGGAGUAUGGUCGCAAGGCUGAAACUUAAAGGAAUUGACGGAAGGGCACCACCAGCCGUGGAGCCUGUGGCUUAAUUUGACUCAACACGGGAAAACUUACCAGGUCCAGACAUAGUAAGGAUUGACAGAUUGAUAGCUCUUUCUUGAUUCUGUGGGUGGUGGUGCAUGGCCGUUCUUAGUUGGUGGAGUGAUUUGUCUGGUUAAUUCCGUUAACGAACGAGACCCCAGCCUGCUAAAUAGCGCGCGUGAGCUUUGCUCGCGGCGAGCUUCUUAGAGGGACUAUGAUGCGCGAUAGCACAUGGAAGUUUGGGGCAAUAACAGGUCUGUGAUGCCCUUAGAUGUUCUGGGCCGCACACGGGCUACACUGGCGCCUGCAACGAGCAUAUCAGCUGGUCCGAGAGGAUCUUGGCUAAUCUUUUGAACCGGCGCCGUGCUUGGGAUUGACCUUUGCAAUUGUUGGUCAUGCAACGAGGAAUGCCUUGUAAACGCGAGUCAUCAGCUCGCAUUGAAUACGUCCCUGCCCUUUGUACACACCGCCCGUCGCUCCUACCGAUGAAUGUUCCGAUGAAAUUUUCGGAGAGUACCUGUGAACUUGGCUCUGCCUUGCGAACGGGAAGCUCAAAGUCACUAAAAUCUGAACAUAGAG
rnacentral:rRNA from 1 species